GAGAAACCACAGGUCAGAACAAGCUGCUGAAAACACACAUUCACAUUUAGAUACUGAGGAUUUUUUGCUCUUGAAAAACCAACCAUCUCAUGGAUAUUUCUCACACUUUUAAAGUGAAAAUGUCCUCUGUAACAUCUGCAUCUCUCUGCUGGACUUUACUUUUUGCUUACUUCCUCUGUGUCUCUGCAGGUCAAACAAGAAGACGCAGAGAGGCUGUUUCUGAUGGAGAGAAAAUUGGUCAGGGGGGUUAUAUUGCAGCUGUUUUUGUUGUUGGCUUGUUUAUCUUUUACAUAUGCUAUAGAAGAAUGAACCACAGGAUAAACUGAUGUUCUGAGGACAGACAGAAAUGAGCACUGUGGAUAAUAAUGGGCCUUUGGUGGUGGCAAUACAAAUAUAGUUAAACAGUAAGUCUGUGUUAUAAAUGAGCAGAAAUGGGUACUCUCACCAAAAUGCCUAUAUAUACUAUAAUUUAUAGUUUAUACAUUUUCUGUAAGCAAUUCUUUGUGCGUUUUUUUUUGUUUAUUAUCAAUAAAUCAUUCACAUGUAUAUGGACUGUUUUCUCUUCCUAUCUACAAGAUAGUGGAAAACUAACCCAUGUCCUGAACAGCCUGUUAUGAAAAUCGAAUUCUUUUGAGUACAAGCAACUUCAAAUAAUAGUGAAGUAAAGAUGAGCAAGUCAAUCUGCUAUUAACAUGCUAACAAAAUAAACUGAAUGUGCUGAACAAUGUUUUCUGCAUUAUAUCAGGUUUUGAUAUAUUGUAAACUGUAAAUGUAAUGUAAUGUAAAUGUAGAUGUAAACUGACACAUAACUCAGCUGUAACCUCUGUGUCUCAGUACAGACUCUGUUCAGACCUGUGAAUCUGAAAGUAUUUAUAGAAUGAAGGUGGAGUUUUGUAUGACUUAAAUUAAACCAGCUGAUUGUGAGGAGUUGAGAUGGAAGACACUGAGUUUUGAUGGUAUGAUCCAUAUCUGAUUGGCAGUUAACAUCUGCAGCAUCCGAAUUAGGACAUAUCACACAGUUGUUUUGUUGUUGUGUGUUAAAUGUUAAGCACUUGGACCUGCUAUCCCCUCCUCUUCUUUUGUUAUACUGUACUUAUUUGUUGUCACCUUUACAGUGUCGUGUACUAAGUUUCUGUAGCUAAAAUGGGAAUGGCUCAUGUAACUGUGUCACUCUGCUUGACUUUGCUGCUUGUCAGUGUCUUUGUUUUUGUUUCUGUAGAUGGGGUUCUGUUAAAAACCAGAGUUCCCCUCUGAGAUAAAGCUGAAUAAACAGUAUCAGCCUAGUUUUCAUGUUACAUAAGAAA
ensembl:lncRNA